UUCCAGGCUGCAAGGGCGGAGGAGCAAGGUCCUCACCAGGCCCAGCACCCCACCUGCUUUCCUUCCUGCUCCCGGUGGGCCCGACACCCACCUACUUCACCUCCCUGGUCCCUCUGGGCCUUCACCGGCCCAGCACCCUGUUGUCCUGUGAUCCUGGCCAACACUGAGCAGAGCAAAAGUUAGGUUUGCAAGUGGGACUCCGAGUGGAGAGCCACAUGAACUGCAGAGCCCUGGCAACCCAGCCAUUCCACAGAAGGACUGCCACCAAGGACUGCCACCAAACAUGGGACCCACAUUCCAUUGGUAAGACACGUGCAGCAGGUCACUCAGGGGACCCUGCACUUAACCUGAUGUCAGAAACAACAGGUUCAAAGGCAUGACAGUGAUUAAGAGUCUGAAUGUGCCUAUGGGGGAAAAAAAAUCUAACUCAUGAUAAUCCCCACUGUGGCCAGGAUAGUCACAGGGGUCAGAUUUAUUUUCCUGCCCAAAACAGCCAAGGAGACUGAGACAAAAUAUAUGGUUUCCAGACAGUAGACACGAGGAAAGGAAAGACAAUGAUUCCUGAGAGACAGGAGACACACAACGUGGUCCCCGUGAGCGCAGCAAAGAGUAGCCGGGGGGACCCCAGGUCGAGCCUGGCAGCUCCUGAGGUUGGGGUUUUCAGGACAGAGCAUGAGAGGGGGAGAGAGAGAGAAAUAUUCAAUAUACACAUUACACAUGUAUGUGAGGAAAAAACCACCAAAAGGUAUUAAGACAGUGCCUCUGCACUCACACCAGUCUGGUGAGCAGCCCCCAUCCCAGCCAGACUGGAAGCCUCACGAUCACGGCACAGCAGAGUCUUGCCUCAGUGAGGGAGAAGAACUGAUCUUGGGCUGAGCACUACUAUAGUCUUGCCUAACAAAUCUUAAAAGCAAGACCCAAGAAAAUUAAGCUGUUUCCAAGAAACUUAACUAUAUUCCAGAAAAAGGCUCUAAGAUAUAUUUGUUUGGACUUAAAAAAAUAUUGUUUUUGGUCCCAGCACAUGAAAGAGUAAAAUUUACAGCACCUGGCAUCUAAUAAAACACUACAAGCCUUGCAGAGAGUAAGGGAAAAAAAAAAACUCAUAAUAGGGAGAAAAAUCAAUUAAUUAAAACUAACACAGUACUGACACACAUUAGAAUUAGUAAGAGAAUAUUAAAAAUUAUUAUAACAGGUAUCUCAUAUGUUCAAACAAUUACAGACAUGGAAGAUAUAAAAAAGACCCAAAUCCAACUUCCAGUGAUGAAAAACACACCAUCUAAAAUUAAUAGCAGAGAGGAGGAGAGGGACAGGACGGGGAACUUGAAGACGCAGCCCUAGAAAUUACCCAAAAGGAAAUGAUGAUGACUGACAGAGCAUUGUGACAAUGUCAAGUGACCUAAUGUAUGUGUAUUUGGAGUCCCUGAAGGAAAGGAAGAAAUGAAAAAAAAAAAACCUCAAAGAAAUGAUAGGAAUUUUCCAAACUUGAUGCAAACUAUAAACUCAUGCAUUGAAGCUGAUCAAAGUAUCCAGUAUAAGAAACAUGAAGAGGCUCGGAGCCUGUGGCUUAAGCAGCUAAGGCGCCAGCCACGUACACAUGAGCUGGCGGAUUGGAAUCCAGCCAGGCCCGCCAAACAACAAUGAUGGCUACAACCAAAAAAUAGCCAGGCGUUGUGGCAGGCGCUUGUAGUCCCAGCUACUUGGGAGGCUGAGGCAGGAGAAUUGUUUGAGCCCAGGAGUUAGAGGUUGCUGUGAACUCUAAAGCCACGGCACUCUAUUCAGUGGGACAGCUUGAGGCUGUCUCCAAAAAAAAAAAGAAAUAUGAAGAAAACACACCAAGGCAUGUCAUAAAGGCAAUUUUGUCGAAACAACUGCAAAGAAAGAGUAUAAAAGCCACCGGAGGAAACAAAGACAUGCACAGAAAAAUAAGAACAAGGGAGGCAGCAAAUUUCCUGUUUGAGACGACGUAAGUGUGGGAAACGCCAUGAAAACACCGGCAGACAAAAUCUGCCAACUGAGAACCCUGUACCAAGACGUUAUUCAGAACGAAAGAUAGACAAGGACUUAGCAACAAAAGCUGAAGGGAUCCAUGACCAGAAGGCUAACACUACAAAAAAAUGUCAAAAUAGCCAGGCGCGGUGGCUCAUGCCUGUAAUCCUAGCAUUCCAGGAGGCAGGUGGAUUGCCGAGCUCAGGAGUUCCAGACCAGCCUGAGCCAGAGACCUGUCUCUACUAAAAACAGAAAAACUGAAGCAAGAGGAUCUCUUGAGCCCAAGAGUUUGAGGUUGCGUAGAGCCAUGAUGAUGCCGCAGCACUCUACCCAGGGUAACAGAGUGAGACUCUGUCUCCAAAAGAAAAAGAAAAUGUUGAUGAAAUCUACAGAAAAGGUGCUAAACUAGUAAGUUUAGCAAAGUUACAGGAUGCAAGAUCAAUAUACAAAAAUCCACUUUGACAGUAUUUCUAUAUUCUUGCAAAGAAUAAUUGCACAUUGAAAUAUUUAAAAUAUAACAAAGCCCAAUGGGUCAGGGAUUAAAAAGCCAGGUACUUGGGGGUGGGGGGGACUUUGUCUCCAAACCUUUGUCUCCCCCCUGGGAGGGUCGGCCACAGAGCUUGGUGUACAGUGACCUGAAGAGGAAUGACUGUGGUUUAAAGUCCUUUCUUCAUCUAAGUUGUCACUCAGAUGUGUGAGGGUGACAAAAAGACUACCCUCUUUAUGCAAGAGAUAAGAAAUCAGCACCUUUUGCCCUUUUCUGGAAAAAAAGACAAAGACCUAGUCCAAUUCCAGGCAACCAAGAAAAGGGUCAAAAAGAGAAUAUAGGGUGGCGCCUGUGGCUCAAGGAGUAGGGCAUCAGCCCCAUAUACCAGGGGUGACGGGUUCAAGCCUGGCUCCAACCAAAACUGCAAAAAAAAGA